rnacentral:rRNA from 1 species
GAGAGUUUGAUCCUGGCUCAGGACGAACGCUGGCGGCGUGCCUAACACAUGCAAGUCGAGCGGAGGGGAUAGGAGCUUGCUCCUUGAACCUUAGCGGCGGACGGGUGAGUAACACGUGGGUAACCUGCCCUUGAGAGGGGGAUAACAGGUCGAAAGGCCUGCUAAUACCGCAUAACGCUAAGAUGCCGCAUGGCGUCUUAGCCAAAGGUUAAUUCCGCUCAAGGAUGGGCCCGCGGCCCAUUAGCUAG